GGGCCCGUUGCCUAGCACGGAUCAGGGCGUCAGCCUGCGGAGCUGAAGGUCGAGGGUUCGAAUCCCUCCGGGCCCG
rnacentral:tRNA from 1 species